rnacentral:tRNA from 1 species
UGUUUAGUGUUGAAGGUCAACAAGUUAAUUGCAAAUUAAUUCAUGUGAGUUCGAUUCUCAUCUAAGCAU